rnacentral:lncRNA from 1 species
UACAACAUAGGGCUACCAGACCAGAUUGUUAGGACUGCGUGGUUUAAGAGAGUCAUCUUUUUAUUGGAAAGUCAUGGGGUCUCUAAAAAGGUCUUCAGGUAGCUCCAGUCCUUUGUGCAAGCUGUUAGUGCAGAGCUGUGUGGCACCUACUUUACCUUUCCAGGUGGAAAAUGCCCACCCCAACAGGCACUGAAAUUGUGUGACAAUUUCAACAAUAUGCGGAGAGGAAGGACAGAGCUCUGGGAAGCAAACUGCUCUGUGAAGUUGUUCUGCUCUCUGUCAGAGACUGCUUGAGUGAGGAGGCAGCAGCACAAGGGGACAUCUUAUUCAUUUUAAGAGCUCUUUUCC